CACACAGGUUUGCUGUGGCGUUCACUGAUAAAUUGAAAGAACGCGCCAAAGUGCUCUUUGUAUGUGAGAGCAAGAAGAUCUAUGUACAGCCUCAAGGGAUUGAGACCAGAGUGGCAUCACAUUUCAGCUGGAGUGACUUUUUACACAGCACAGAUAAUUCUCACAGAUAUACCAUGGUCUUUUGGACAGGAUAA